rnacentral:rRNA from 1 species
UACGUAGGGUGCAAGCGUUAAUCGGAAUUACUGGGCGUAAAGCGUGCGCAGGCGGCUUUGCAAGACAGAUGUGAAAUCCCCCGGGCUCAACCUGGGAAUGGCAUUUGGGACUGCAAGGCUGGAGUGCGGCAGAGGAGACUGGAAUUCCUGGUGUAGCAGUGAAAUGCGUAGAGAUGUGGAGGAACACCGAUGGCGAAGGCAGCCCCCUGGGUCAAGAUUGACGCUCAUGCACGAAAGCGUGGGGAGCAAACAGG